rnacentral:piRNA from 1 species
AUAAAAUGUUUUAGGACUGGGGAUAUA